UGUUAGGGGGUUUCCGCCCCUUAGUGCUGCAGCUAACGCAUUAAGCACUCCGCCUGGGGAGUACGGUCGCAAGACUGAAACUCAAAGGAAUUGACGGGGGCCCGCACAAGCGGUGGAGCAUGUGGUUAUUCGAAGCAACGCGAAGAACCUUACCAGGUCUUGACAUCCUCUGACAAUCCUAGAGAUAGGACGUCCCCUUCGGGGGCAGAGUGACAGGUGGUGCAUGGUUGUCGUCAGCUCGUGUCGUGAGAUGUGGUUAAGUCCCGCAACGAGCGCAACCCUUGAUCUUAGUUGCCAGCAUUCAGUUGGGCACUCUAAGGUGACUGCCGGUGACAAACCGGAGGAAGGUGGGGAUGACGUCAAAUCAUCAUGCCCCUUAGACUGGGCUACACACGUGCUACAAUGGACAGAACAAAGGGCAGCGAAACCGCGAGGUUAAGCCAAUCCCACAAAUCUGUUCUCAGUUCGGAUCGCAGUCUGCAACUCGACUGCGUGAAGCUGGAAUGCUGUAAUCGCGGAUCAGCAUGCCGCGGUGAAUACGUUCCCGGGCCUUGUACACACCGCCCGUCACACCACGAGAGUUUGUAACACCCGAAGUCGGUGAGGUAACCUUUUAGGAGCCAGCCGCCGAGGUGGACAGAUGAUUGGGGUGAAGUCGUAACAAGGU
rnacentral:rRNA from 1 species